AACGCACCUUGCGCCCCUUGGUAUUCCGAGGGGCAUGCCUGUUUGAGUGUCAUUAAAUCCUCAACCGCGCCGAUCGAUUUCGGUGGGGCUUGGACUUUGGAGCGUGCUGGCGAAGGUCGGCUCCUCUUUAAAUGCAUCAGCGGAAGAAACCUUUGUCUUUCCUGCCCUUCGGUGUGAUAAUCGUGUUGCGCCGCGGUGGAACUUCAACGAUCCGCUUACAAUGGUCUUCGGACGAAUACCUCAUGUCAUCUUGACCUCAAAUCAGGUAGGACUACCCGCUGAACUUAA
rnacentral:misc_RNA from 3 species